rnacentral:rRNA from 1 species
UGGUAAUUGGGGAAACGUUUUUUCGCUAAAGGAUGAGACUAUAUGGUAUCAGGUAGUUGUGGGGUAAGAGCCUACCAAGCCAAUGACGCCUAGCUGGUCUGAGAGGAUGAUCAGCCACACUGGAACUGAGACACGGUCCAG